UUGCUCUUUUUCUACAUUGCUUUUAGGUGAUGUCUCUGCUUGUAUUUUCUUUCCAGCUCUUUUAGCAUGUGUAUAUGCUUUUACAAUAUUAUUUUUCUGCAUAACGUACAGACCUCUCUGUGUGUGUGUGGAACGUGACUCUCAGUUGGACGUCUGCUCCUAUGUAUGUGUGUCAGAUCUUCUUAUCUUCUUUACUGGAGAGUUUGGACUUUGAUCUGAACACCCGCUACCAGCUUGCACAAUUGACUGCCGACAUAACCCUGCUGACUGAGUUCCUGCGCACCCCGUCGGACAUCUCCGGGUUCCCACCGCCUCUCAGAUACAGAAUCUGCCCAGCUAAGGUGUGUGGAUGCUUCCACUCAGACUGACCCUCUGCCUGCUGCUUCACCCGUCCCCUCGGACUACCAGACCGAUGAUGACACGGGCUCUGGCCUUUCUCUUCCCUUUUCACCUGCCAGUCCUGACUAUUCCUCUUCUUAUGUCUCAGUGGGCUACAGUUUUUCCCCAGGAUGUACGCCCUAUUACCAGCCAUUCUCUCCCUAUUGUUUGUCUUCGCCCACUGAUUACAGCCCCACCAGCCCUGUUUAUCCUCAAUAAAAUCACGUGUUACUCAUG